rnacentral:rRNA from 1 species
GAGGGGCAGCGGGGAUAAGCUUGCUUAUCCGCCGGCGACCGGCGCACGGGUGCGGAACGCGUAUGGAACCUGCCCCUGUCAGGGGAAUAGCCCAGGGAAACUUGGAUUAAUGCCCCAUGGUACCGCGAUAUCGCAUGAUAUUGCGGUUAAAGAUUUAUCGGACAGGGAUGGCCAUGCGUACCAUUAGCUAGUUGGUAAGGUAACGGCUUACCAAGGCAACGAUGGUUAGGGGCCCUGAGAGGGGGAUCCCCCACACUGGUACUGAGACACGGACCAGACUCCUACGGGAGGCAGCAGUGAGGAAUAUUGGACAAUGGUCGGAAGACUGAUCCAGCCAUGCCGCGUGCAGGAUGACGGCCCUAUGGGUUGUAAACUGCUUUUAUACGGGAAGAAACCCGCCUACGUGUAGGCGGCUGACUGUACCGUAAGAAUAAGGACCGGCUAACUCCGUGCCAGCAGCCGCGGUAAUACGGAGGGUCCGAGCGUUAUCCGGAAUCAUUGGGUUUAAAGGGUCCGUAGGCGGGCCUGUAAGUCAGGGGUGAAAGUUUGUGGCUCAACCAUAAAAUUGCCUUUGAUACUGCAGGUCUUGAGUCAUGGUGGGGUUGCCGGAACAUGUGGUGUAGCGGUGAAAUGCAUAGAUAUCACAUAGAACACCGAUCGCGAAGGCAGGUGACCAACCAUGUACUGACGCUGAUGGACGAAAGCGUGGGUAGCGAACGGGAUUAGAUACCCCGGUAGUCCACGCCGUAAACGAUGGAUACUAGCUGUGGGGACUUUCGGACUCCGUGGCCAAGCGAAAG